GAGAGAUGGCUCAGUGGUUAAGAGCACUUGAUUGUUCUUUCAAAGGACCUGGGUUCAGUUCCCAGCACUCA
rnacentral:tRNA from 1 species